rnacentral:rRNA from 1 species
CAGCAGCCGCGGUAAUACGUAGGGUCCGAGCGUUGUCCGGAAUUAUUGGGCGUAAAGAGCUCGUAGGCGGUCUGUCGCGUCUGCCGUGAAAUCCUCAGGCUCAACCUGAGGCGUGCGGUGGGUACGGGCAGGCUAGAGUGCGGUAGGGGAGAAUGGAACUCCUGGUGUAGCGGUGGAAUGCGCAGAUAUCAGGAAGAACACCGAUGGCGAAGGCAGUUCUCUGGGCCGUAACUGACGCUGAGGAGCGAAAGCGUGGGGAGCGAACAGGAUUAGAUACCCCCGUAGUCCCUGUCUCUUAUAC